rnacentral:lncRNA from 1 species
AUGUGCCUAAUAUCGGCCAGACGGACGGAGCAAACUGCCGUGGUAUACACCCGUUGGGAACUGAUAAGCCUGGUACAUGGCUCAAUAUUUGGGAUUCGACAUGACAUACCGAAGGAACUCUUACAGAGGAGACAUCGGGGAACCCGUGCAGGGAUGAAGAGAAACAAGAGGAGGUUGGCGAGAACAUGGAGAGAGACUUUUAAACCAGCCCUACCAUCUAUCACAAUGGGGAAUGUUUGCUGCCUAACAAACAAAUUCGAAGAAUUGGAAAGCCUGGUGAGGUACCAGAAAUUGUACCGGGAGAGCAGUAUUGUAUGCCUGACAGAGACGUGGCUGACGGAAAACACGCCUGACUCCCUGAUCAGUUUCACCGGCUUCAAGACAAUCCGAGCGGACAGGGACACCGGAGCGAGCGGUAAGCAGAAAGGAGGGGGGCUUUUACUGCUCGUCAACAACAAAUGGUGUAACCCUAAUCAUGCCACUGUCAAAGAACAGAUAUGCAACAAGGACAUUGAACUUUUAGCGGUUAGUUUAAGGCUAUACUACCUACCCAGAGAGUUCACUGUGGUGAUAACUAUUGCUGUUUACAUUCCCCCAUCUGCCAAGGCGGAAGUCGCGUGUGACGAGCUUCACACCACUAUCGCGAGACUUCAGUCCAAGUUCCCAGAGGCGUUCAUUGUUGUGUCUGGAGAUUUCAACCAUGUCUGUCUCUCUAAGACUUUGCCUACUUUUAAACAGUUUAUUGACUGUGCAACUAGAGGUGGUAAAACACUUGAUCUCUUGUAUGCAAAUGUGAAAAAUGCAUACAAAUGUACAGCACUGCCCCCUCUUGGUCGAUCAGACCACGACAUGCUACAUCUCUCUCCCUCCUACACCCCAGCUGUAAAGAGGCUGCCUGUCACCACCAGAACAUCAAGAGUCUGGCAUCCUGAGGCUGAUGAAGCCCUGAGGUGCUGUUUUGAGACAACAGAUUGGGAUGUGUUCUGUGAGGACUAUGGGGAAGACAUCGACGGCCUAACAGAAUGCAUUACCAAUUACAUCAAUUUCUGUUAUGAUGACAUCAUGCCAUCCAGGGUAAUUCGUUGCUUCCCUAACAACAAACCAUGGAUAACCAGCAGCCUGAAGUCCUUACUAAAUGAGAAGAAAAAGGCUUUCAGGGAGGGCGACAGGAAUAAAAUCAAAGAACUUCAAAAGGAACUUAAGGUGAGGAUUAAGGAGGGGAAAGAAGCAUUUCGGCUCAAACUGGAACAACAGUUGCAGCAGGAUGGAGUGAAGCAGGUAUGGGCUGGAAUGCGAAAGAUCACGGGCAUGAAGCAGAAGGGCAGUACACUGCCUGAUGGUGAACUGAGUCUGGCCGAUGAUCUGAACAGAUUUUUCAACAGAUUUGACUGCCCCACACCACCACUACCGCCCCUACCUGGUCUGCUGACCAAUGCUGCUUCCUCACCACCUCCCCUCCCUCUCUCCAACACUCCUGAGAUGUUACCUGCACAGAGUCCUCUCUUCUCACCUCCUACUCCACCAGCAACCCCACCUAUGACUUUCCAUACUGCCCAGGUUAAGAUGAUGCUGUACAGGCUGAAGCCAGGGAAAGCAGUGGGGCCCGAUGACAUCAGCCCAAGGCUACUGAAGACUUGCUCUUCAGAGUUGUGUGGUAUUCUUACACACCUGUUCAACCUGAGCUUGCGCCUACAGAAGGUCCCAAGGCUGUGGAAAACAUCUUGCCUAGUACCUGUCCCAAAGAAGACCCAUCCCACAAACCACAAUGAUUACAGACCAGUAGCUCUCACUUCACAUAUCAUGAAGACAUUUGAGAGACUUGUCCUCUCCUCCCUCUGCACUAGUGUGUCUACGCAAAUGGACCCUUUACAGUUUGCAUAUCAGCCUAACAUUAGUGUUGAUGAUGCCCUCAUUUACAUGCUGCAGAGGGCAUACACACAUCUGGACACCCCUGAUGCAUCUUUAAGGAUAACAUUCUUUGACUUCUCAUCUGCCUUUAAUACCAUCCAGCCACGUCUGCUAGGGGAGAAGAUGGAGAUGAUGAAGGUGGAUCCAUUACUGGUACUGUGGUGUUUGGACUACCUUUAUCUCAGACCACAGUAUGUGCGCCUACAGAACAAUAUUUCAUGCACCAUCCUCAGCAGCACAGGGGCUCCACAAGGAACUGUUCUGGCUCCAUUCCUGUUCACCAUCUACACAGCGGAUUACAAAUACAACACUAAAAGCUGCUUCUUGCAAAAAUAUUCAGACGACACAGCUGUUGUUGGCCUCAUUAAAGGGGGAAAUGAGGAGGAGUACAGAGACACCAUAGACAAUUUUGUGGAGUGGAGUACACACAAUAAUCUCCAUCUCAACACCACAAAGACAAAGGAGAUAGUUGUGGAUUUCAGGAGGGGAAGGAGGAGGACUCAACCAACACCAAUCAGCAUCGGGGGCACUAUGGUGGAGAUGGUCGCCAACCACAGGUACCUUGGUGUGCAGCUCGACAGUGAGCUGGACUGGAAAAGUCAUAUGGAAGCGGUGUACAAGAAGGGACAAAGUCGACUCUUUUUCUUGAGGAGACUAAGGUCAUUUAACAUCUGCCAACCCCUACUGUGCACUGUCUACCACACAGUGGUGGCCAGUGCUCUGUUUUUCGCUGUGGCAUGUUGGGGAGAAGGCGCCUGCACAGCGGACAAAAAGAGACUGGACAAGCUGAUCAGGAAGGCCAGCUCAGUGGUCGGGGCUGAGCAGCUAAAGGUCCAGCAGGUGGCAGAGGCCAGAAUCCUCAACAAACUGGCCUCAAUAAUGUCUAACCCCACUCACCCACUCCACGCCCUGAAGGUGAUCAAGAACAGCACCUUCAGCCAGAGACUAAUUGCACCAAUAUGCAAAACGGAGCGGUACAGGAAGUCCUGUAUACCAGCUGCCAUACGGUUUUACAAUGCACAAAAUUAA